UACGGGGGGGGGCAAGCGUUGUUCGGAAUUACUGGGCGUAAAGCGCGCGUAGGCGGCUUUGCAAGUCGGGUGUGAAAUCCCCAGGCUUAACCUGGGAACUGCAUUCGAGACUGCAUUGCUAGAGUAUGGGAGAGGGAAGUGGAAUUUCCGGUGUAGCGGUGAAAUGCGUAGAUAUCGGAAGGAACAUCAGUGGCGAAAAGCGACUUCCUGGACCAAUACUGACGCUCAUGUGCGAAAGCGUGGGGAGCAAACAGG
rnacentral:rRNA from 1 species